GGGGGUAUAGCUCAGUGGUAGAGCAUUUGACUGCAGUUCAAGUGGUCCCCAGGUCAAACCUGGGUGCUCCCU
rnacentral:tRNA from 2 species